rnacentral:tRNA from 1 species
UGUGUUGUGGCUCAGCGGUGGAGUGCUCGUCUCGAACGUGAGAGACCUAGGUUCGAUCCUCAGCACCACAU